rnacentral:rRNA from 1 species
AUUGAACGCUGGCGGCAUGCUUUACACAUGCAAGUCGAACGGUAACAGGCCGCAAGGUGCUGACGAGUGGCGAACGGGUGAGUAAUGCAUCGGAACGUGCCCAGUCGUGGGGGAUAACUACUCGAAAGAGUAGCUAAUACCGCAUACGAUCUAUGGAUGAAAGCGGGGGACCGUAAGGCCUCGCGCGAUUGGAGCGGCCGAUGUCAGAUUAGGUAGUUGGUGGGGUAAAGGCUCACCAAGCCAACGAUCUGUAGCUGGUCUGAGAGGACGACCAGCCACACUGGGACUGAGACACGGCCCAGACUCCUACGGGAGGCAGCAGUGGGGAAUUUUGGACAAUGGGCGCAAGCCUUAUUCAGCAAUGCCGCGUGUAGCGAUAUGUCCGCCGGGUUAUAAUGUUCUUGUUUGCGUAAUGAUUUGGUUUUGCUUUAUACCUACUGAUAAUGGCGGUAUGGUAACGAUAAGUCACGUCUUUCUACGGG